CGGCGGAGCAUGCGGUAUUAAUUCGAUGCAACGCGAAGAACCUUACCAAGGCUUGACAUACACCGGUAACGCCCAGAGAUGGGUGCCCCUUUGUGGUCGGUGUACAGGUGGUGCAUGGUUGUCGUCAGCUCGUGUCGUGAGAUGUUGGGUUAAGUCCCGCAACGAGCGCAACCCUCGUCCUAUGUUGCCAGCGGGUCAUGCCGGGGACUCAUGGGAGACUGCCGGGGUCAACUCGGAGGAAGGUGGGAUGACGUCAAAUCAUCAUGCCCCUUAUGUCUUGGGCUUCACGCAUGCUACAAUGGCCGGUACAAAGGGCUGCGAUACCGCGAGGUGGAGCGAAUCCCAGAAAGCCGGUCUCAGUUCGGAUUGGGGUCUGCAACUCGACCCCAUGAAGUCGGAGUCGCUAGUAAUCGCAGAUCAGCAACGCUGCGGUGAAUACGUUCCCGGGCCUU
rnacentral:rRNA from 1 species